UGGGGAAUUUUGCACAAUGGGCGCAAGCCUGAUGCAGCGACGCCGCGUGAGGGAUGAAGGCCUUCGGGUUGUAAACCUUUUUCGCUCAUGGUCAAGCUGCAGCUUUGGGUUGUGGUGAGGGUAGUGGGUAAAGAAGCGCCGGCUAACUACGUGCCAGCAGCCGCGGUAAUACGUAGGGCGCGAGCGUUGUCCGGAAUUAUUGGGCGUAAAGGGCUUGUAGGCGGUUGGCCGCGUCUGCCGUGAAGUCCUCUGGCUUAACUGGGGGCGUGCGGUGGGUACGGGUUGACUUGAGUGCGGUAGGGGAGACUGGAAUUCCUGGUGUAGCGGUGGAAUGCGCAGAUAACAGGAGGAACACCGGUGGAGAAGGCGGGUCUCUGAGCCGUUACUGACGCUGAGGAGCGAAAGCGUGGGGAGCGAACAGG
rnacentral:rRNA from 1 species